rnacentral:snRNA from 1 species
GUGCUUGCUUCGGCAGUACAUAUGCUAAAAUUGGAACAAUACAGAAAAGAUUAGCAUGGCUCCUGUGCAAGGAUGACAUGCAAAUUCGUGAAGCAUUCCAUAUUUUU